rnacentral:rRNA from 1 species
GGACUACUGGGGUAUCUAAUCCUGUUUGCUCCCCACGCUUUCGUACCUCAGCGUCAAUGCAGGCCCAGGUGGUUGCCUUCGCCAUCGGUGUUCUUCCGGAUAUCUACGCAUUUCACCGCUACACCCGGAGUUCCGCCACCCUCUACCGCAUUCUAGUCCACCAGUAUCGACUGCAGUUCCCAGGUUAAGCCCAGGGAUUUCACAACCGACUUAAUGAACCGCCUACGCACGCUUUACGCCCAGUAAAUCCGAUUAACGCUUGCACCCUCUGUAUUACCGCGGCUGCUGGCAC